GACGAACGCUGGCGGCGUGCUUAACACAUGCAAGUCGUACGGUAAGGCCCUUUCGGGGGUACACGAGUGGCGAACGGGUGAGUAACACGUGAGUAACCUGCCCACAACUUUGGGAUAACGCUAGGAAACUGGUGCUAAUACUGGAUAUGUGCUCCUGCUGCAUGGUGUGGGUUGGAAAGCUCCUGCGGUUGUGGAUGGACUCGCGGGCUAUCAGCUUGUUGGUGGGGUAGUGGCCUACCAAGGCGGCGACGGGUAGCCGGCCAGUGAGGGUGACCGGCCACAUUGGGACUGAGGUACGGCCCAGACGCCUACGGGAGGCAGCAGUGGGGAAUAUUGCACAAUGGGCGCAAGCCUGAUGCAGCAGCGCCGCGUGCGGGAUGACGGCCUUCUGGUUGUAAAACGGUUUCAGCAGGGACGAAGCUUUUUGUGACGGUACCUGCAGAAGAAGCACCGGCUAACUACGUG
rnacentral:rRNA from 1 species